GACAGAGGUGCCAAGCGUUAGGCGGAAUCACUGGGCUUAAAGCGUGUGUAGGCGGAUCGUUAAGUACCUUGUGAAAUCCCCCGGCUCAACCGGGGAACUGCUGGGUAUACUGGUGAUCUUGAGCAAUCUAGGGGCAGAUGGAACAAGUGGUGGAGCGGUGAAAUGCGUAGAUAUCACUUGGAACGCCAAAGGUGAAAACAGUCUGCUGGGGAUUUGCUGACGCUGAGACACGAAAGCCAGGGGAGCGAACGGG
rnacentral:rRNA from 1 species